GGUCCAUUCGUCUAGGGGUUAGGACGUCAGGUUUUCAUCCUGGUAACAGGGGUUCGAUUCCCCUAUGGACUGCCA
rnacentral:tRNA from 2 species